AGUGUUGAAAGAAGGGAUUUAGAUCCGUAUAAAAGAGGAAGGGGGUACCACGUCAGCAUCACCAUUCAUUUCUCAGCCACAAGUUUAUGUGGCCUCCGAUAUUUUCCUUUUUCCCACCUCUUUAUUAGCGGGUCGGGUUUCCCGGUUUUAAUAAUCAUAAAUAUUACUAAUUCUUAUCUUUUUAUGUCUAUUAUUCGCAUCUUUUUUUUUUUCCUUUUAAUUAAUUAAAAGAGGUUUUGAGCUGAAGCAUCUUUGUAUAUAUAUCUUCAGACUUGAAAUAAGAUGAUGAUGUUAUACGGUUGAACUUUAAACUUCGCUUCUUCUUCUUUUUCCCAGGUUUCUAUCAAGACAUGAUUUUUUUCAACUAAAGUCCUUUUAGAUUAAUAAAGGUAAUAUUGGACUAGUGGUUUAGUGUUUGGAAUUAGUUUUACUGCGCCUCAACUUCAAUUUCUCCUAUUACUAUCUUUAAUCGAUGUGCCCGGCUUGGAGAGAUUAGUCGGAUUCAAGCGAUGUUCCGCAGCCCGUAGCCACUCUCAAGGAGCUGUCCGUAACCCGUAGUCACCCCUGGCCCGGAGCCAGCCUGCGCUAAUACCUUUAAGUGGCGUAAAGCACUCUGUGGCCACAUAGGGUUUAUGGACGAGUCGAACCCAGGAACACGCAGCCAAACGGUAUGACGCUUAACUCAACUGGGUACCACUAGCCCACCACUACGUGGUUAAAUAUGUUCUAUCACUACAUCGAAAUGAAUGAGUCUUUGUGAUGUUUCUCGAUAAAUUAGUUCACUUGUGAUUCUCUUUAGCUACAAAACAUGGAGACUUCACGAAACAAAGAGCUAUUGACAACAUUCAGUUUCUUCAUCAAUUGUUGGUAAUCGGUUUUCAAAGUUUUUUUAUUAUAUAAAUGCCAUAAUUAAAGUAUAUAGUUUUUUUAUAUUUUACUCUAAAUGUUUUAAAUAAUAUAGAGACUCGGUUUGAAAAAUAUAUUACAUUAAAUUUAGAAUUGGUAUGGGUGUAAAAUUUGUUAUGUUAAAUGACAUAUUUAAUUUUAAUGUGAAUAAAGAGACUAAAAUAAAAAUAUCAAUGAAGGUUGUCGAUAUAUUUUUUUUUCAGUUCAAAAAUAAUAUCGACAACUUUUUAUAUUUUUAUUAAGUUACUUAUAACAAAAAAAACUUACAUAUUUAAAACUUGAAAGUGGUCCGUAAUUUAUAAAGUAAAAAGAAAGAAAUAUUAAAAUUGAAAAUAAAUUUGAAAUGCUUUCCAAACUAAUGUUAACUAGGAUCGAACUAGCACGUCCGUGCAUAUAUAUAAUAUAUAUAUAUAUAUAUGUUUUAAAAAAGAUAAUCUUUAAAAUACAAUUAUUUUUUAUUUAUGUAACCAAAUAUUAUUUUUGAAAAUUUUAUAUAUAUUGAAAUUUAUUUUUUCAAAAUUGUACUAAUCAUAUAUUCACCAUUUAUUUUAUUUAUUUAAAAAUGUAACAACAUAUUAAUAAUGUACUUUUAAACAUUGGUUUUAUAUGAAUUAUUACAAAUUUUAAAUUUUUAUUUACAAGGUUUGUAUUCUUGAGAUAGUUUAUGUGACUAAAUUAAAAUAGCUAAUAUUAUAUUUUGAUGAUAUAUUUUAUUUAAUGUAUUAUAUAUUAGUUUUGUGAUUUUUUUUACUAUCAAAUGUGUCCUAUAUUAAAUAUGGUAAAAACAGUAAUUUCAUAAUAUAAAUGUAUUUGGGUUUUACAGAAUUUUUUUUUGUUCAAGAUUUAUAUUUUUUUCUUUUAGGAUAUCAUCUAUGAAUAAAUUUAAGAUAUUUUUUUUAAUUUCUAGUUAGUGGCCUUACAUAAAUUUUUUUAUGGUAGAUAAAAAUUAGGACCCUAAAUUAAUAGAUUAGAUGGAUAGUUCAACUAAUGUUAAUGGAUAGUUUGUUUCUUUUAGGUGGAAAAAUAUAAAGUAAAAAAAUAGGAAAAUGAAAAAUAUAAUGUUACUCUCAUCAAACUUAAAAUAAUAAUAGUAUUUUUUUAGUUUAAACUUUAAACAGUAUCUAGUGUAACUAAGACGAAAUGUAAUUCUUUUUGAUUGGCAAAUUUAUAAGAUAAUUAAGAUUUUUUUUUAUCAGCCAGAUAAUUAAGAUAAUAAAAAAAAUCAUUUUUUGUUCACUCUAACAAUGAUAACCGGUCAAAACCUAAGUUGAAUAUUUUUAGCAUUUCAUUUUCUUAACAUCUAUUUUUUUUUACACCAGCUAUACAUUUUACAUCAAUAGAGAACAUCCUAUGUUCUGUGUUCUUUGUGCAAGUCAAGAUGAACAAAGAAAUCGUAUCUUUCUAGUUUCCAGGUUUCAUCUCAGAUAUGGAGAAAGCUGUCAUUUGGAUUGCUUGGUUUUUGAUAUUUUUUCUUUCCCAGAAUCUAAUAAAAAACAAAGACAAUACAAUUAUGAUCAAAGAGAUAUAAUUGGAUGUGCUCAGUAUACUAUGCAUGAUCAGGAAUCGGACCAGUUAGUUUGUACGUGUGGAUAAGGAAAAGCAAAGGAAGGUUGGAUUCAACGACGUGUCAGUAAAUCAUUGGAUUUCAACAAAAAGGUUCCGUAGGUCGCUGCUACAUUGUACAGUUUAUCAACUUGCGUUUUUGGAGAAUCUAUAUCAAAGUCUACCUUUUGCCACCUCAGAUUUGUGUUGGCCCACGUCAUAUCUGCGCAUAGAUUUCUACAAAAUUGCAUAUCUUUCACUUGGUCGAUCUAAUAACUACCCUCCACGUGUUCCGCUGUGAUCGCAUCCUAACAAGAUUUUUUCUUCUUGUGUCACUCGCUGGUUUUUAAAUGGUAACAAUGGCUAAAACUAGAAACCAAAAAUAUUACUCUAUGUGUUCGAAUGGAGUAACGGGAGAAGUGUUCAUCCCGCACAAUGCAGUUCUCCCGCAAUAAAAUCACUAUUCAUAUUUUUUUGUUUUUAAAAUCAGUUCAAGCGAAAGAUCUGCAUUGAUCUGUUUUUUUCUUUUUUUUGUCUAAUAAAUAAUUUUGUUACAAACAUUUUAACUUAAAAUAUAUUUAUCCAAUUUUAUAAAUAAUGUACAAUGAUUAACUCAAACUAUAUAGUUCACAUUAAUACUAUUUUGUCUUUUUAAAAUUAUAAGCAUGACGUCCAAUCGCUGAUAAAACGCAACAUCUCUUAAGGAAUAAGAUAAAAAUCUUCCUACAUAAAUAUCAGCACAGAUAAGUAGUUAAUAAUUUUUUUAUGUUUUAAAAUAGUUGAUGUAUAGGUAAAUGAUUGAAAUUUUGUAAAUCUAUUGAGAGAAGACAAUUUUAAAUGUACUCUUAACCGAGAACGAAUAUUUACUGAGUUGUAAGAUCAACUAAUUUUCAUGACCAAUUACUGUUUUAAAGAUCCUACACCCACUAGUAAAAAGUUUUGUGGUGAUAAGUUCGACCAAGAAUUUAAUAUUAGCAUAAUCUACCAGUUCUCCAAAAAUAACUUGAUCAACUAGAAUAAAAAUAGAAGAGGUACAAGUAUCUUAUCAAAAUUUCUACAGCCAUUCGGUCGAUUCUACAACAUAUGAGAUAUUUGUUUUCAUAUUUUGGUGUAGUUUUUAUUGUUUUAAUAUAUAUAAUUUGUAGUUUUGAACUGCUUUUUCCAUUUAUAAUUUAUAAUAAAUUACUUUAUCUGCAUUUCUUCUUCAUGAUCCACUUGUUCUGCACUUGUCCCAUUUCAUCUGCACUUGUCUCGCUUGAUCUGCUUGAUCUGCAACGCUUGAACUGUUUUUACCAUUCAUACCCCAUAUGUUCCAAAAUAGUUGAUGUUUUGGGUGUAUGCAAAUCAGUUAAGGUAUACAUUCUUUCAUAAAAAAGUAACACUAAAAAUAUAAACUAAAAGUAAUUCAGCCAAUCCUUAAAAUAAGUAUAAAACAUCAUUGCUCACAUAAUUUUCAGUAAAACUAAGAUUAAUAUAAAAAUACCAAAAUAUCAUUUAUUUUAAAACAUCAAAAACUUUCCAAAACGUCAUCUAUUUUGGAACGGAAGGAGUACCAUGUUAGAUGACAAUCCGCGCCAUGCGCAAGAUGAGUUUUUUUUUAUUUUAAAUAUUGUAUUUUAUUAUUAUAAGCAAUACACAUUUUGUUAUCGAUAACCUAUUUUACAUUUGAUUAGGAGUGUGCAUUUGGGUACCAUUCGGGUUCUAUUUGAGUCUAUUAUGGUUUCAGUUUUUUCGGGCUAAGAUUUUAGUCAUAUUCGUGUAUUGAUAAAUUUUGUUUUGGGUUCGGUUCGGAUUCUUGCGAGUUUGGUUCGGGUUUGGAUAAUUCAUUUAAACUAUUUUUAAAAAAUUAAAAUUUAUUUAUACUUUAAAUUUCUCAAAAUAUAAAAGUAAAAUAAUAUAUAAGAUACAAAUUUGAAUAAUGUAUGCCGAAAUACUUAAA